UGGGGUAAAUGCAGACACCCCACCAGACGGUGCGCCGUUCAAGCUCUGC
rnacentral:ncRNA from 1 species